GACGUUUCCUUGGACGAGAUGAUGAUUUUAGAGAGAAAAAUAUUGCGGGCGAUUUCAUGCUGCCCUUUACCAUGGACCAAUCUCUCAUUCCAUCUUCUAGAGAACCUUGGAUAACUGAAGAGAACCUGUUCCAAAUUACAGGUUUCUAAAUGAUAAUAGACUUUAUCAGAAGAAAUGUCCUUUCAAGAAAGAAAACUAGGUCCCUUGUUUGCUAACCUAAUGGCUGCUACCCUUGAUUCUCCCCUUUUACUUCCUUAAACGGGCCCUCUUGAUAUGAGGGUAAUCCUUCGCUACUUAUCGUGGACUUCAACCAUUGCUGGAAACCAACCUUGAGAGCAUGCUGUUAUUCAAGACUGAUAAAUUGUAUUGUUAGUUAAAUUACAAGUGCAUAUCUGGGCUCCCUUCUUUUCUGUGGCCCCGUUUCCCUAACUAACCACUAACCAACGCCCGCCGGUGGUCACUCACCCG